UUAAAUAACGGGAUGCUGCCUGUAUAUAUUCGUGUCGAGGAACUUUAUCAAAAACUUAGUUCCACACUACUCCCUUAUCGUUUAAUACUUCGGUGUUCAGGGUUUAAACAUACUCCAGCUUGUGGAUACAGGCAUUCAGUUCAGCCUUUGCCAGUUGCUAGAAUAUGAUUAUAUCCACGCCGAUCCCCAUCCUGGCAACCUUCUUGCCACUCCUGAUGGACUCCUGGCCUUUCUGGACUUUGGCAUGAUGAGUGAGGCUCCGGAGAGUGCUGAAUAUGCCAUUAAAGGUCACAUUAUACACCUCGUUAAUCGUAUUUGUCAUUCCAUGGCUAGAGACUACAACGACUUGGACUUCCUCUCACGAGAUGUGGAAUUCCCUUCAAUUGUGUCCGUGCUUCAGUCAUUCUUUGACGAUGUUUUGGGUGCUACAGUUAGCUAACUAAAUUUCUAGACUACUAUUGAUGAAUUGGGAUCUGUUUUUAUAUCAAUAUCCUUUCAAUCGUAGCUGUUGCUCACCCUGUUUGUGCUCCACUUCCCUGAUGGAAUAGAAUUGGUUACAUCCUUAUUAGCAUUGAUGACAGCAAUUUGAUCACUAGUAGAUGUUGGUAUGAUUAAUCAUCGAAAUAAUCUCUUCAAACGGAGCGUGAGUGUAAGUGUGUCCAUUUGUGCCUUUUUGCUAACAAAUUCUAAUCUUGCUGAUCAGUACCUGCUUAUUACGCUCUCAUCUCAAGGUCGUUAACGGUGUUGGAGAGACUCGCACUGACACCUACCCAAGUUUUAAAUUUCCAGCGGCCUCUUAUCCAUAUUUUGUUAAGCGAUUGCUCACCAAUCAGAAUCGUUGCUUGUGAAAUGCUCUGGUCGAACUUCUUUUUCAGGACGGAGUCUUCAGAAAACGCAAGGACUCGGAUUUCAAGGCAAACGAUGUUGUGCAGCCCUUAGUUGAGCUACUGUUAGGGGAAGAGGGAGAUGAACUACAGCUGCAUGUAGAAAGUGAAGUUGUGUGAUUGACUGAAGCUUUGAUAUUAGGCACUGCAAUUGAAAACUUUAGGCAAGUUCCUGCACUUCUACGCGCGUUCUUUCCACCAGUUAGAGCCAGUGUUCAGGAUCAAACAGGCAUGCUCGCUUUGCGUGACCAACUGCUUAGAGAGUUUGACCCUCCGAUGCUUCAACCCUCUGUGGAGAUGUGUCUUUGACAAGCUCUUCCUUCCAGUUGUCUCUUCACUUCUUACGAUGCUCACUUCGCUUGCCAUAGCUCAUGUCAGAGACUUAUUUUGGUACAUACUUCAAAGCAUUACCAUGCUUCAUACACUUAGUAAUGAACAGAAGAUACUAUUCCGGAUGUCUAUUUCUGUUGUGGGUGCAGGUGCUGUCGAGCCCAAAGACUUGCGCAUUUGGAGGCCGCGUUGCCGGUAGUUGGACUCGCCGUUUGGCUGCACGCGCGUCACAGCAGUUGUUACGGCGGCACCUACGACCACAGCCUUACAAUUUUCUUAGUAUAAUGGUCAGUUCUCCAACUACCACUAUAGGAGUCAAUUGUAGAUUCAAUUAUAACUUCAGCAUGGAGUCCAUUGUUAUAAUUGAAGUGCAAUCUCUCCUUUGCUAUAUGUGAAGAGCUCACGAAUAGUUUUGCUGAUUAGCUUGUGAAGCAGAAGAAAGAGGUUGCGGAUGGCUUAUAUACUUCAAGAAACAUUCUUUGAUUAAAAAUGUGGAUGUACUAUCCACUGGUUCCCGCUUCAUAAUGUAAAAAGACAGAUUGUUACA